GGCAGAGGGUGCAAACGUUGUUCGGAAUUACUGGGCGUAAAGCGAGUGUAGGCGGUCUCGUGAGUCGGGUGUGAAAGCCCUGGGCUCAACCCAGGAAGUGCACUCGAAACUGCGAGGCUAGAGUACUGGAGAGGUUGGUGGAAUUCUCGGUGUAGAGGUGAAAUUCGUAGAUAUCGAGAGGAACACCGGUGGCGAAGGCGGCCAACUGGACAGAUACUGACGCUGAGACUCGAAAGCGUGGGGAGCAAACAGG
rnacentral:rRNA from 1 species